UAUCCGGAUUUAUUGGGCGUAAAGGGCUCGUAGGCGGCUCGUCGCGUCCGGUGUGAAAGUCCAUCGCUUAACGGUGGAUCUGCGCCGGGUACGGGCGGGCUGGAGUGCGGUAGGGGAGACUGGAAUUCCCGGUGUAACGGUGGAAUGUGUAGAUAUCGGGAAGAACACCGAUGGCGAAGGCAGGUCUCUGGGCCGUCACUGACGCUGAGGAGCGAAAGCGUGGGGAGCGAACAGGAUUAGAUACCCUGGUAGUCCACGCCGUAAACGGUGGACGCUGGAUGUGGGGCACGUUCCACGUGUUCCGUGUCGGAGCUAACGCGUUAAGCGUCCCGCCUGGGGAGUACGGCCGCAAGGCUAAAACUCAAAGAAAUUGACGGGGGCCCGCACAAGCGGCGGAGCAUGCGGAUUAAUUCGAUGCAACGCGAAGAACCUUACCUGGGCUUGACAUGUUCCCGACGACGCCAGAGAUGGCGUUUCCCUUCGGGGCGGGUUCACAGGUGGUGCAUGGUCGUCGUCAGCUCGUGUCGUGAGAUGUUGGGUUAAGUCCCGCAACGAGCGCAACCC
rnacentral:rRNA from 1 species